rnacentral:rRNA from 1 species
UACGGAGGGUGCGAGCGUUGUCCGGAAUCACUGGGCGUAAAGGGCGCGUAGGCGGCCUGAUAAGUAGGGGGUGAAAUCCUGCGGCUUAACCGCAGGGCUGCCUUCUAAACUGUCAGGCUUGAGCACAGUAGAGGCAGGUGGAAUUCCCGGUGUAGCGGUGGAAUGCGUAGAGAUCGGGAAGAACAUCAGUGGCGAAGGCGGCCUGCUGGGCUGUUGCUGACGCUGAGGCGCGACAGCGUGGGUAGCAAACAGG